rnacentral:rRNA from 1 species
GACGAACGCUGGCGGCGUGCUUAACACAUGCAAGUCGAACGGAAAGGCCCUGCUUUUGUGGGGUGCUCGCGUGGCGAACGGGUGAGUAACACGUGAGUAACCUUCCCUUGACUUUGGGAUAACUUCAGGAAACUGGGGCUACUACCUGCUAGGAGCUCCUGCUGCAUGGUGGGGUUUGGAACGUUUCGGCGGUUGGGGAUGGACUCGCGGCUUAUCAGCUUGUUGGUGGGGUAGUGGCUUACCAAGGCUUUGACGGGUAGCCGGCCUGAGAGGGUGACCGGCGACAUUGGGACUGAGAGACGGCGCAGACGCCAACGGGAGGCAGCAGGGGGGAAUAUUGCACAAUGGGCGGAAGCCUGAUGAAGCAACGCCGCGUGCGGGAUGACGGCCUUCGGGUUGUAAACCGCUGUCGCCUGUGACGAAGCGUGAGUGACGGUAAUGGGUAAAGAAGCACCGGCUAACUACGUG